UAGGGUUUGAUCCUGCACUACUGAGGUCAAUAGGAGGUUUGUCAUUGAAAUAAAUGGAAGCACAAACAGGCUCUCAAGCAAUAAUUCAAAUAGAAAAAUGAGUUGGAAUAAAUCUCAUUGCAAGAAGUACUGUACAUGUCAUUCCUAGACAAGGGACUCAUCCUUAAGUCUUAGACCCUCUGACAUCAAUAGGAGCUUUUUGUCUGAGUAAGGCCUCCAAGCUUUGGGGGCAAAUACUUAAAUGUGUAGAAUUACCUCUGGAUGGCUGUGUGCUGAGUGAGGCAAAUCUAGAUCCUCACCUUCACAGUUAGCAGUCAGCAUCGGGACACUGGCAGCAGAAUUGAAGUAAUAUUCCUGUUCAAGAUGGAUUUAGGGUGCACAAAACUUCUUGAGUAGCUUCCAGCAUGGCAGUGUGCAGGAGUCAUGUAGACGUGGGACCAGGAUGACAUUGUAGAAAGAAAGGGCUGAACCAGAGAAUUUUCCCCCUGUGUGGAUCAGACAUCUGCUUCUCUUCCAGCCAGCAAAGUGUACUAGAUCUGCAGAGGGCUAAAAUAGUGGCUUUGCUGCCAGCGCAGGGAUUCUUUCUAAUAAUCAUCACUAGUGGAAAUGUACAGUGCUGGACACUGUGUCCCUGGAUUUGGCCCCAUAUGGGUUUGUGGUUGCAGCAUUCCAAUUCAGAAACUCUGUAGAUUUAAUCCACAGGCCAGAAAGGCAAUCCCUAAAGAAGAACUGGAGUUAAGUGACACAAGGAAUAAUGUUGAGAUUUAAAUGACAGCCAUAUCCUCAGCUGGUGUCACUCAAAGUCAGUAGAACCACAUCAAUAUACACUAGUUGAAGUUCUAGCCCAUUAUAACUUUGGUGCUAUGAAAAAUGUCCCUGCUACAAAGUGCUAGCACUGGGGUGCCCAACAUUAAGGUCAAGUCUAAAUAAUCCUCAGUAUCACAGUGAUGCUUGCUAAAUAUAAAGACCAAUAAACAGACCACAGCACAGACCUGCAACUUUAUCAUUCCUCCCGCAGGAAGGGAGGUCUGGGGGCUGUUUAACAAGAAUUCAUUGUUAGUUAGUGGAAGUCACCUUGUGUGAUAAAUGGGAUUUUAAAUCUAUAGGUCUUUGCUAUGGGAAUAAUGUACGUAAAUAUGAGUAAAGAAGGCAAUGUGACUUAGUCGAUAAAGCGCUGAACUCCAGGGGAUCUGGGAUAUAUUCUUAGUUCUGCCACUGACCUGUGGGGUGACUCAGCAAUCUCGUCACCUCUCUAUGCUUCCCUGUCAAUAAAAUUGAGAUAAUGAUAUUUAACUCUUGUAAAGUGUUUUGAAAUCUACAAAUGAAGAGUCCUAUAAGAGCUUGGUAUCAAAGGACUGAAUGAAAUCGGAUAUAACUGGUCAGCCCCAUGUGAUUAUCCUCCAGCAGUGCCAUCCAUUUAUGACUUCAUUUUUCUCACCUUUGCAAGGAUAGACAGAAAAUCAGUUUCCAUAGAACAAGAGCAUCCUGAACACUGACCUAAAGCAAAUAUAAAGGUCAUAUAGCAUAUAGCAGUUCUGUUUCAUUUCCUCUCUGUCUUUCCUAGCUCAGCAUGGCGCAAGCCAGCUUGUCCUACACACA